AUACAAAUCAUCCGGGGAUCUUGUUAAGAUGCAGAGUUAGAUUCUCAGAUCUGGGGUGAGGCCAGAGAUUCUGCAUUUCUAACAUGAUCCCAGGUGAUGUUGGU
rnacentral:pre_miRNA from 1 species